UUAAGCGACUAAGCGUACACGGUGGAUGCCCUGGCAGUCAGAGGCGAUGAAGGACGUGCUAAUCUGCGAUAAGCGUCGGUAAGGUGAUAUGAACCGUUAUAACCGGCGAUUUCCGAAUGGGGAAACCCAGUGUGAUUCGUCACACUAUCAUUAACUGAAUCCAUAGGUUAAUGAGGCGAACCGGGGGAACUGAAACAUCUAAGUACCCCGAGGAAAAGAAAUCAACCGAGAUUCCCCCAGUAGCGGCGAGCGAACGGGGAGCAGCCCAGAGCCUGAAUCAGUGUGUGUGUUAGUGGAAGCGUCUGGAAAGGCGCGCGAUACAGGGUGACAGCCCCGUACACAAAAAUGCACAUGCUGUGAGCUCGAUGAGUAGGGCGGGACACGUGGUAUCCUGUCUGAAUAUGGGGGGACCAUCCUCCAAGGCUAAAUACUCCUGACUGACCGAUAGUGAACCAGUACCGUGAGGGAAAGGCGAAAAGAACCCCGGCGAGGGGAGUGAAAAAGAACCUGAAACCGUGUACGUACAAGCAGUGGGAGCCUCUUUAGGCGUGUGACUGCGUACCUUUUGUAUAAUGGGUCAGCGACUUAUAUUCUGUAGCAAGGUUAACCGAAUAGGGGAGCCGAAGGGAAACCGAGUCUUAACUGGGCGUUAAGUUGCAGGGUAUAGACCCGAAACCCGGUGAUCUAGCCAUGGGCAGGUUGAAGGUUGGGUAACACUAACUGGAGGACCGAACCGACUAAUGUUGAAAAAUUAGCGGAUGACUUGUGGCUGGGGGUGAAAGGCCAAUCAAACCGGGAGAUAGCUGGUUCUCCCCGAAAGCUAUUUAGGUAGCGCCUCGUGAAUUCAUCUCCGGGGGUAGAGCACUGUUUCGGCAAGGGGGUCAUCCCGACUUACCAACCCGAUGCAAACUGCGAAUACCGGAGAAUGUUAUCACGGGAGACACACGGCGGGUGCUAACGUCCGUCGUGAAGAGGGAAACAACCCAGACCGCCAGCUAAGGUCCCAAAGUCAUGGUUAAGUGGGAAACGAUGUGGGAAGGCCCAGACAGCCAGGAUGUUGGCUUAGAAGCAGCCAUCAUUUAAAGAAAGCGUAAUAGCUCACUGGUCGAGUCGGCCUGCGCGGAAGAUGUAACGGGGCUAAACCAUGCACCGAAGCUGCGGCAGCGACGCUUAUGCGUUGUUGGGUAGGGGAGCGUUCUGUAAGCCUGUGAAGGUGUGCUGUGAGGCAUGCUGGAGGUAUCAGAAGUGCGAAUGCUGACAUAAGUAACGAUAAAGCGGGUGAAAAGCCCGCUCGCCGGAAGACCAAGGGUUCCUGUCCAACGUUAAUCGGGGCAGGGUGAGUCGACCCCUAAGGCGAGGCCGAAAGGCGUAGUCGAUGGGAAACAGGUUAAUAUUCCUGUACUUGGUGUUACUGCGAAGGGGGGACGGAGAAGGCUAUGUUGGCCGGGCGACGGUUGUCCCUGGUUUAAGCGUGUAGGCUGGUUUUCCAGGCAAAUCCGGAAAAUCAAGGCUGAGGCGUGAUGACGAGGCACUACGGUGCUGAAGCAACAAAUGCCCUGCUUCCAGGAAAAGCCUCUAAGCAUCAGGUAACAUCAAAUCGUACCCCAAACCGACACAGGUGGUCAGGUAGAGAAUACCAAGGCGCUUGAGAGAACUCGGGUGAAGGAACUAGGCAAAAUGGUGCCGUAACUUCGGGAGAAGGCACGCUGAUAUGUAGGUGAAGUCCCUCGCGGAUGGAGCUGAAAUCAGUCGAAGAUACCAGCUGGCUGCAACUGUUUAUUAAAAACACAGCACUGUGCAAACACGAAAGUGGACGUAUACGGUGUGACGCCUGCCCGGUGCCGGAAGGUUAAUUGAUGGGGUCAGCGCAAGCGAAGCUCUUGAUCGAAGCCCCGGUAAACGGCGGCCGUAACUAUAACGGUCCUAAGGUAGCGAAAUUCCUUGUCGGGUAAGUUCCGACCUGCACGAAUGGCGUAAUGAUGGCCAGGCUGUCUCCACCCGAGACUCAGUGAAAUUGAACUCGCUGUGAAGAUGCAGUGUACCCGCGGCAAGACGGAAAGACCCCGUGAACCUUUACUAUAGCUUGACACUGAACAUUGAGCCUUGAUGUGUAGGAUAGGUGGGAGGCUUAGAAGUGUGGACGCCAGUCUGCAUGGAGCCGACCUUGAAAUACCACCCUUUAAUGUUUGAUGUUCUAACGUUGACCCGUAAUCCGGGUUGCGGACAGUGUCUGGUGGGUAGUUUGACUGGGGCGGUCUCCUCCUAAAGAGUAACGGAGGAGCACGAAGGUUGGCUAAUCCUGGUCGGACAUCAGGAGGUUAGUGCAAUGGCAUAAGCCAGCUUGACUGCGAGCGUGACGGCGCGAGCAGGUGCGAAAGCAGGUCAUAGUGAUCCGGUGGUUCUGAAUGGAAGGGCCAUCGCUCAACGGAUAAAAGGUACUCCGGGGAUAACAGGCUGAUACCGCCCAAGAGUUCAUAUCGACGGCGGUGUUUGGCACCUCGAUGUCGGCUCAUCACAUCCUGGGGCUGAAGUAGGUCCCAAGGGUAUGGCUGUUCGCCAUUUAAAGUGGUACGCGAGCUGGGUUUAGAACGUCGUGAGACAGUUCGGUCCCUAUCUGCCGUGGGCGCUGGAGAACUGAGGGGGGCUGCUCCUAGUACGAGAGGACCGGAGUGGACGCAUCACUGGUGUUCGGGUUGUCAUGCCAAUGGCACUGCCCGGUAGCUAAAUGCGGAAGAGAUAAGUGCUGAAAGCAUCUAAGCACGAAACUUGCCCCGAGAUGAGUUCUCCCUGACUCCUUGAGAGUCCUGAAGGAACGUUGAAGACGACGACGUUGAUAGGCCGGGUGUGUAAGCGCAGCGAUGCGUUGAGCUAACCGGUACUAAUGAACCGUGAGGCUUAACCUU
rnacentral:rRNA from 1 species